UCAUGUCUUAAUUCGGAGAUAAUCCCUAUUUUCGAAUCGGGGCGUGACAUUUACGUUUAAUAUUCAUUAAUUUUCUCUAGAAUACCAAACAUACACAAUUAAUCCAAACGCCUCUUUCAAGAAAACUUUUGGUUUCUCUUCCUCUAAUGGCUCCCCUCUUUUUAAAUGAGAAGAAUAUUUUUUUUAGAGUGCUGAUAUUUCCAUCUUUUGUCUUAUUUCCCCACCAACCUUAUUUUUUCACCCGCCAUGUAAAUUUGAAAAUACACAAUCCUAUCUUUUCACCCACAAUUAUUCCUAAAAUAACCUUUAAUUAUUAUUUCAAACAAAUUCUUU
rnacentral:lncRNA from 1 species